GUCAGCAGCUGGGGUUGGGGCGGGGAGAAAAUGAGGAGUUAGUGUUUAAUGCAUACAGAGUUUCAAUUUGGGAGAUGAAGAAAGUUCUAGAGAAGGAUGGUGGUAAUGGAUACACAAUAAGGAGAAUGUAUCUAAUGUCCCUGAAGUACACACCUAGAAAUUUUUAAGAUGGUAAAUUUUGUUAUGUGUAUUUUACCACAAUUUUUUGAGGUUUAUUUAGGAGAGGGAGAGAGAGAGAGCCUGAGCAGGGGAGGGAUAGAGAGAGAGAAAGAGAGAGAGAGCAUCCCCAGCCAACUUGGGGCUCGAACCUAUGAACCAUGAGAUCACGACCUGAGUGGAAACUAAGAGCCGGAUGCUUAACCGAUUGAGCCACCCAGGUACCCCUACCACAAUUAAAAAAAAAAAAAAAAUCCUUUGGGGAUUCCCAGCUGGCUCGGUCGAUAAGCAUGUGACUCUUGAGCUCAGCGUCCUGAGCUCAGUCUCCACAUUGGGUGUGGAACCUGCUGAAAAAUAAACAAAUAAGGAAGUCCAUCUGUCCUUUGGUGUCCCUGCCACUGGAAAUUUCUCACUGGAAUUCAUGCCAGGCUGUGGCUCCUGCCAUCUUGUUUUGUGCCCCCACCCACUUCAUUUCAUUUCUCUGACCUUCCCUGUCUUCUCUCUUCUUGGGGUCCCUUUUCCCUAAGCUCCCGUUAUGACGCUGGUAAAGCCGUUGAGUCCCUCAUGUAUUUAUUUAACCACGUCCCUUCAACCAUGUCCCGGGCACCGCCCUCCCCUUCCUCGACCAAAGUGGCUCAUCAAGAUGUUUUCCUAAACAAAACUGUUCUCACCCUGCUAAAUGCAUUGAAAACAUGCCAUCUGCUGUAUACGCUGGUCCCCUGAGAAAUUGAGGAGUCCAAGCCCGCAGCUGAGACUCAGAGCUCCUCUCCACCAGCUGCCAGGCUGAGGCUAGACCCCGGGGUCCCAGGAGUGAAUUUGUCAGAGUAAAGGCCGCUUUGGGCAGCCUCUUGGCAGCCUGCCGACAGCCCCUUCCCGCGCCACUCUGUCUGCCUGAGCACCACGUAGAUCAAGCCUCAGAUGUGCGGGCCCGAGGAGAAAACGGAGGAUGACAGCAAGGACCGCUCGCCAAGCCGAGAUGAGAAAAAUUAAACACGGAAAGAAAAUGUCUGAGCUGGGGUCUGAACCACCGAGCGCAGCCAAGCGUGGGUCCGGAAUCUGGUCUCCUAACCACCACUCCAUGCUGCCACCACUAUAGGGCUCCGCUCCCUUGAAAAAUUCCACCUGCUAUAGCUAACCUCUGUUUGACACCAGAGAAACUCAAGGUAAGAGAAGCUAAAAAGAACUUGCCCGGUAGAUGGUCCCGCUGGGAUUUGAACCCACGUGGAGUGAAAACUGGGUGGCCAUCUCAUACUUCAGUGAGUGCCAGGAAGGGCUGGGCACGGCUACCUGCAUCCCACACUCAAGGUUAGGUCCCCUUUGAAGAGUUCAAAGGAACAAUGACCCCAAAGCUCGAACUGGGAGGGGAAAGAGGUGUUUGCACUAUCUUCUACAACCAGCAUCUUAUUUUAUUUUAUUUUUUUUUUUUUAAGUAGACUCUAUGCCCAACGUGAGGCUUGAACUCACAACCCUGAGAUCAAGAGUUGUGUGCUUUACCGGCUGAGCCAGCCCGGAGCCUCUAUAGUCUCUGAAACAACACAUCGUAAUUCAUUUCAGCAGUCCCAAUGCAAGGACAAUGUUUCGCUAUUAUAAAUAGCCCUGCAGUGACCAUUCUUGCAAAUUAUUGUUUCCAGUAAUUCAAUGUACAGCCAAGAA